CAGAAACGGGGGUAGAAUCUCAAGAUGUCAGGUCUGGAAGAGGUUUUCCAGAGGCAAGUGAGAAGCUAGUGUCCCCAGAAGUGACCCACAGUGUCAGGUCAGCCCAUGUUUAUUGAAUAUCUACUAUGUACCAGAC
rnacentral:lncRNA from 1 species